CGGUAGGGGAGACUGGAAUUCCUGGUGUAGCGGUGGAAUGCGCAGAUAUCAGGAGGAACACCGAUGGCGAAGGCAGGUCUCUGGGCCGCAACUGACGCUGAGGAGCGAAAGCAUGGGGAGCGAACAGGAUUAGAUACCCUGGUAGUCCAUGCCGUAAACGUUGGGCACUAGGUGUGGGGCUCAUUCCACGAGUUCCGUGCCGCAGCUAACGCAUUAAGUGCCCCGCCUGGGGAGUACGGCCGCAAGGCUAAAACUCAAAGGAAUUGACGGGGGCCCGCACAAGCGGCGGAGCAUGCGGAUUAAUUCGAUGCAACGCGAAGAACCUUACCAAGGCUUGACAUGCACCGGAAACACUCAGAGAUGGGUGCCCCGUAAGGUCGGUGCACAGGUGGUGCAUGGUUGUCGUCAGCUCGUGUCGUGAGAUGUUGGGUUAAGUCCCGCAACGAGCGCAACCCUCGUCCUAUGUUGCCAGCGGGUUAUGCCGGGGACUCAUAGGAGACUGCCGGGGUCAACUCGGAGGAAGGCGGGGAUGACGUCAAAUCAUCAUGCCCCUUAUGUCUUGGGCUUCACGCAUGCUACAAUGGCCGGUACAGAGGGCUGCGAUACCGCAAGGUGGAGCGAAUCCCAAAAAGCCGGUCUCAGUUCGGAUUGGGGUCUGCAACUCGACCCCAUGAAGUCGGAGUCGCUAGUAAUCGCAGAUCAGCAACGCUGCGGUGAAUACGUUCCCGGGCCUUGUACACACCGCCCGUCAAGUCACGAAAGUUGGUAACACCCGAAGCCCAUGGCCCAACUCCUUGGGGGGGAGUGGUCGAAGAGAACCAACCACCCCCC
rnacentral:rRNA from 1 species